rnacentral:rRNA from 1 species
CCCCUUGAAGACGACGAGGUAGAUAGGGCAGAGGUGGAAGUGCAGCAAUGCAUGGAGCUGACUGUUACUAAUAGGUCGAGGGCAUAACC